AUGCUUACCUGGCACGGGAGAUAUACCAGGAUCCUGAAGGUGGUACUCCCAGGGUGAGGCUUAUCCAUUGUGCGCCAGAUGUGUUGACCCUUGUGAUUUCCCCAAAUGUGGGAAACUCACUGCAUCAUUUGUGGUAGUGGGGGACUGUGUCUGUGCUCUCUCCUG
ensembl:snRNA RNU1-8P RNA, U1 small nuclear 8, pseudogene